rnacentral:lncRNA from 1 species
AAAAGGAGUUAAGCCAAAAACCCAGUGGAGCAAUGGGCUGGUCCCUUGCCAUGUCCUUUCUGCUUUACUGACACUCAGAGGAGCCCUUCCCCAGCCCCGGGUGUAACCCACUCAGAGCCGGAUGGGCUAGAUAAUGGGAGCUGGGGUUGGGUGGGCUGAAAUGGAAGGACAAGUCCAUGGCCUGUGUGGAUUUUUAGGACAAUCGAUGGGAGUUUGGGGUUUCUGCCUGGGAAAAUCUUCACCCUCUCCAAGGGUUGAUUCAACAGCAUAUAUGACAGCAGAGGAGUGCUAACACUGCCAACAUCCUUUGUGAGCUGAAUCUGACCAGAUUUCUGUGCUGACCAAUAUCACUGAAUUUAGAAUGAUGGGACCCCUGGUCUUUGCCAUCUUCUUGCUACUGCUUUCAGGGACCAUAAUGUCCCCAAAACCAAGAAAAUGGUGUGAUUCUCUGGAAUAUCAGGACUUUGCUGUUUCAGAUACCAUAAGUGGGAAGUCUGAAUUCUGGAACAAAGCCUACUUCAACAAUGGAGUAGUCUACAUAUAUGACAACUACCAUCAGAGGGCAAAACCUCAUUUAGGAUGGGAAAAUGUGGAGAACUGGGAUGAGGUGAGCCAGCUUCAGAAGGAGAGACAAGAUUUGAUCAUGAAGGACUUUCAAGAAUUCCUAAGCUCCAAAAAAGAUAAGAAAGGUUUUUAUGGCUUUAGUCAAGGUUUUGGCUGUUUACUUUGUCCAAAUCGCACUUUCAAGAUAGCAGAUUAUUGGCAUUUGGAUACAAGUGGUAUCCAGGUUGCCUUUACGAAUACAAAGUACCAGUUAACAAAAGAUUCUGAAGCUGAAAUGAACCAAGACCCAGGUGCUGUAACUCUACCCAAAGAAUAUCUGGAGAAACAGUGUUUUGCAACACUCCAAAAAUACCGGAAUUAUAGGAAUGCUUACUAGGACAAACCAGAAUUUUAGGUAAAGAAAGAUGCCACCUCUCUGAAUCCAGAAACUGAAAUGUUGGAGAAGACACCAUGAAGAAACCUUCAGACCACAAGCUGCACAAGAAUGAACUUUGGGUGUAGUUGAUUGAACAUUUAUUUGUAUGUAGACUUUCAUGCCAAAGGGGACUUCUCCCUAACUGGCUUUUUAUCAAUGUGUCCAGCAAUUAUUGGUUCUGUCCUUUUUUUCUCUUAUCCUCAAAUUAUUAUAAUCUUUAAGUUGAUUAUGUUUUCAUAAUCCUUUUGGGGAAAAAUGUUUUUUUUUUCCACAAAAACGAUCACACGGAGAAAUGUAAAAAUGGAGACUUGAACCUAGAACUCCAGUCCCCAGAAGUCCUUGUUCACUUCUCAGAAUGCUUUGUAAUCUCACUGAAUUCUCACCUGGGAGAGAUCACAAAUUAUUAUUUAAAGAAGUUCUCCACCUACUGAAUGGCUCUUUUUCCUACUUCCGCUUCAGGGAACACAAGGCUCUCCACCUAGCAGGAAAUAUGUGAGCAGUCUUGAAUAGGCUCUCUAGGCCUAGAAACAUGCUUUUCUUACUUGUAUUUUCUUAAAUUCCUCAUCUAAAAUAAAACUCUAAAAUAUUAUACUACUUGCA